CAUUAAGAAGCUAUGUACCAGCACUAGCCUUUUAAGCUAGUUAAAGAGGGAACCCAUCCCUCCUUAAUGA
rnacentral:tRNA from 1 species